AUCUUCCGCAAUGGACGAAAGUCUGACGGAGCAACGCCGCGUGAGUGAUGAAGGUCUUCGGAUCGUAAAACUCUGUUGUUAGGGAAGAACAAGAAUCGUUCGAAUAGGGCGGUACCUUGACGAUACCUCACCAGAAACCCACGGCAACACACGUGCGCGCACCAGCGGUAAUACGUAGGUGGCAAGCUUUAUCCGGAAGUAUUGGGCAUAAAGGGCGCGCAGGCGUUUUCUUAAGUCUGAUGUGAAAGCCAACGGCUCAACCGUGGAGGGUCAUUGGAAACUGGGAAGCUUGAGUGCAGAAGAGGAGAGUGGAAUUCCAUGUGUAGCGGUGAAAUGCGUAGAGAUAUGGAGGAACACCAGUGGCGAAGGCGACUCUCUGGUCUGCAACUGACGCUGAGGCGCGAAAGCGUGGGGAGCGAACA
rnacentral:rRNA from 1 species